rnacentral:lncRNA from 1 species
GAUUAGUUAGAAAACAUAAUGUAAAUGGUGCACUUUUUACUAUAUUAAGUUUGCUAAACAAACUGAAAUAUAAGAGAAAUUUCAUCGGGUAGAUACCCAUUUGAGUAUUAAUUGAGUAAUGUAUAUGUCUUUAAAAAAAAAAUCAAAUCACAAUAUAUGCAAAAAAAAAAAAAAUGUAGAUACCCAUCUGAGUAUUAAUUGAGUAAUAUAUGUCUUUCUAGAAAAAUUUCGAAUCACAAUAUGUACAAAAAGUAGAAUUUUGUUAACUUUAUGAAUUAUACUAGUAGGUUGGCCGUGCUACACGCGGGAG